GAUGACGCUGUGAAGAAAGCGAAGUAGUCGACGGGCCUCUUGUCCAGAAAGCUAGUGGUUGCUGUGAACUAGCCAAUGUCAAUCGAUGAAUUACACUUUUAGAGCGUGCCUUUGGGCCGGUUCGAGACCGUUAUCUCUCGCUCAAGCGGUCGCAAAUUGCGACAAGUAGGGUGGUACCGCGGAAUCUCCGUCCCUUCU
rfam:Exiguobacterium sp. AT1b, complete genome.